rnacentral:lncRNA from 1 species
UUCACCGUGUUGCCCAGGCUGGCCUCGAACUCCUAGGCUCAAGCAAUCCUCCCGCUUUGGCCUCUCAAAGUGCUGGCAUUACAAGUGUGAGCCACCACGCCCAGCUUUGUACUUUCUUAAUGAUGUGAAAAGACAUCUGAGUAAAUCUGUAGUUGAGAGUGCAGGAAAAAGAAACCCUAUCACACACUCUUUUGUCAACCGAAUUGCAGAAAUCCACAUUCAAACUGGAUGCAUGCGUUCAGCAACUGGAAGCUGAGUUCAUAUUUCAUUGCCCAACUACCCUGACCACUUGGGAAUCGCAGGUUUGGAAGGACCCACAGCCAUUCUGUGGAAAUGGAUCUGCUUUCAGGACCGAAUCUCAGACUUCUUGGGGAAGGCUUCAGUGGCUGCCUUUGCUGUACAGACCUGGAGAUGGGUCUGAUGAUCGGACACCUGAAUUAUCUGUGUGGCUGAGUUUCAAGAAGACCUGCUGGGGUGAAAUGAAAAUGGUGCCUACUGGAAGCCCCAGUGGCUUUGCUGGUGGAGAUUUGCUCCUCCACUGUCUCUUCUUGUAGACACACGACUGCUACAGUAUCAAGGGUCUGAUGCAGACAUGACAAUGUCAAGAGGAAGAGGAGAGCCUCGCUCUUCCCAGGCUUUUGCUUUUAAGAGCAGAAAAACUUUCCCCAGAGUUCCACCAGCUCACUUCUCAUCUUACUUCUUUGGCCAGAACUGGCCCUUGUGCCCAUAUUGUCAGUCAAAUGCCGACAAAGGAAAGGGGCCACUAUGAGUGGUUUAGACUUGGAUUGGGUUUGUCCUUAUUGGAUUGUCCUUAAGUCCUUUGAAAAAGAAGUAUACAACAGAAUGAAAUCUUGACUCAGCUUUCAAGAAUAAAGAGGGUGAGAUGACUGAUGGAUGGCUAGCAAAAUCAGAUGUGGGCUCUGUCCUCAUGGAGCAUACAGUCAGAAGGGGAAGAUUUACCUAAUUACACUAACAAACUUAUAACUGUGGUCAGUGUUCUGAAGGAAAGGAAAUCCAGUUGUAUGGUAACAUAUAACAAAGAAACUGAACUAGGAUGGAGAUGGGGGUGGUAAGUGUGGUUGGGGAAGCCAGGGACAUGAUCUGUAGGAUGGCUGGCCUGGAUUCAAAUUCCACUCCACUUACUUGCUGUGUGAUUUUAGAUAAGUCGCUUCUCCUCUCUGAGCUCAACUUCAUCUAUAACAAUCUUUCCUAGGGUUGUUAAAGGAUUGAAUGAGCCACUCUAUGUAACCA